UCUUGUUCGUCUAGCCGUGUACGAAGCGAAAAGAAAAGCAACCUCUCGUCGCCUCCGUCUAACGUCAUCGCUCGCUAUAGACUCCCGAGCUCGACAAACGGAUCCACCGUGCCCGAUCUCGGUUUACGUGUUUCAGUAGAGCUUUCGCUGGUCUCAAGGAUAAACCAGUUGUUCAGUUAUUCCGGCUGGAGAGACGAAUAUCGUGUCUAUGGUGUUAGUCUGUGUCGAGAAUUUUAAGGUCUGGUAUCGUUGUUCUACAUCUUCCUUGCCGCUAAUGAACAUGGAUCCUGUGGUUCCUGAGAAGGAUCCAAGCUAUUAUGUUCGGGGUCUAAUAUCGUAACUGUUGCUCAAAGCAAUUUGGAUCCGUGUACAUGCAUAGUCGUCUAUACAUGGUGUAAAGGGUGCGUUACGAGAGCAGUGAGAUUAUAUUGCGUUCGUAGCUUGACAGGAAAUUCGCUUGGGGUGGUAGAGGAGAAUAUUUGAAAUGGAAGUUUCUAUCAAACUGCAACGAUUGUAUCCUUUGUAGCACAGCUACGUAUAAUAACAUAUUAUAAACCGAUCAAAUUGAAUUUUUAGAAUCGAUAUACAACAAUAAAACUGGAAUCUGUAAUUGUUAAACCUUAUAGAAUCAUUUUGUUGCUUUUUAUCUUCACGUUCUCUUCAACUUUUUAAUUAUAUGCCUCACAGAGAUGCCUCUCGGUGAAAAUUUCAAGCUAUUUCAAAUUUUAUCAAUACGAUCAUGAUAGACGUGUUCCAUUGCAAUGGUAACGAAAUUUCAAGAAAUUUUGUAUAAUAAGCAUAUUCGUAAAAGUUCCCUAUAAUAACUGUUCAAAUAGUCGUACUUUCGCAAGCCACUAUAAGGUAAUUUAAUUUAAAAACUUGUAUGUUUACAGAUACUUGCUGGCAUAAAAGUCAUACAUAUGGUUACUGGUAUUGUUCCACUUGAAAACGAACUUCCGCUUUUGAAUGAAGUUUAUCAUCGAACUGCAUCAAACUAUGUCCUUUUCCUUAUACGCGCUUCCCACAAUAGCUAGCUAUUCGAUUGAUUUUACCAAGUUCCAACUUGAAAUAUUCCAACCACCUUUAUUAUGCUUUCCUAUAAAUAAACGACCUUGAGAGAAUAGAUGCCAAAUCUGUUAUCGUUGCUGCGGAUUUACGACUUCAAUUAGAAUUCUAUCGAUUCGAUUACGAAAUACUUACGUGCCUAUCAUCGAGAAAUAGUUGAAAAAUAUAGUUAGAGUACGUUGGAAUAAUCAAUAUCUUCUCUGAUAAUUGCUAACAUAUGAUCUUGCAUAUUAGAACGAACUUAUAUAAUUAUAGGAAGAUGAAGAGUACUCGAAGUAUCUACUCGUUAGUGCAAAGAGGACUCUCGAAUCGAUGAAUGCAAUUCACAUUCCUUUUAUGGACACACAACGUAUUCGCGAAAGGUACAAGCGCUCGAAUACCUUCGUAAACAACUCUACAAAUUUCGUCAUUCUUCGCAAAGUUUGAUAUUAAAUGUUAAAAUGUCAAAAUGAUUCGAACGAUCCUACCUUAUUAUAUUUCCGGGUGAAAUCUUGGAUUCCCUGCACACCGUGUGUGCAAUAGUGUGCAUGGAUCGGAUCAGUAACGUACGCUGCCGCGUACAUUGUUUAUUUUCACCGGAGGCAAAACGUAUAGGAUGCUCGACGUGUAUUUACCACGGAUAACGGAACCAUGCCGAUGCUCGAGUCUUCCUCGUUGCGCGUGCGAGUUCGAGCGAGAAAACGGGACAGGCAUAAGGAGAAAGACGACCAACGAUGGAAAGAAACGAGGAAGAAACCCGUAUAGUAUCGUCAUCCGAACGAAUCCGGACUCACAGAGAAUUUCUUCGAUCGAAGAUUACAUCCCUCACGCGACGGUAAAAGUAAAAUCACGUUCGCUCAGCGCCUCCGAGCACAAUGAAUUUUACCGUACUGUUCUUGUAGAGUGUUUUUGACGGGUAACGGUAGUCGAUACGCGACUACACUCGUCCUGAUCUAUCUGAGAAAUUAUGUACAUCGUCUUACGACGGAUUCGAUAUCUCCGACCGUUUAAGCGGAAAUUAGAUCUCAGCUAACUCGACCUAUCACUGAGGAUAUAAGAGAUAAUUAACGCCUGUAGUGGCUGGACCUUGUUAAACUUACUCUUUCGACUGGUGUGUCGUUAGGCUACUGGGUAUCAUGACAAUUUAGGGUUAGACUACUCAGUUUUGGAACUUUUAAUGCAAUUGAACUUUACUAACGAUUUCUAUUACGGAGGAAAUAAAGUAUAAAAUAAAAUGAAAUACCUUGAAUUUUGGUAAUCUAACGUAAGUUAUUACAGUCAUCUAUAAGCAAACGACAUUAAAUAUGCAACAGGUAUAAUUAUUUAUGACGGUCGAUAUUUUGAAGGGGAUGAAAGAACCAAACAUUUCCAUGAAGUGUUAAAUACGGAAACAAAGUAUUUAAUAUAGUAUUAUCUAUAUUUUGAUAAUAUUUAAUAUUUCCAUCGAAAUAUCAUUUUUCUUUCGGGUCAUAUAGAUGCGAGAGGAACGAUAGUAACUAAUUAUAAUAAUUGAAUUACACGCUUGAAAGAAAAUGUUAUUGAUAAAUAAGACAAAGCUUCAAGAUCUCCUUUUCUUCCGGUAGCACAGUCAACAACCGGAAUAAAGGAACAAAGGCGGCUAGAAGAAACAUUUAAAGUGUCCAGCCAAUAGGACCUACACUUUUAGUAGCAAGUAUAAGAGACGUGAAUUAAGAAUUCCCUGAAAGUCGGAAUGGUCUCGAAUAAACAACUCUUCAGACUUCCACCAGUUUGAAAAGAGAGUUUAAUAAGUUGCUCCACAAAUAUUUUAAAGAAAAAGUUUAAUAAAAGUUUCCCUAUUACGCGUUUGUUCGAUAAAAUAUAUUCUUUUUUUAUAUCCUUACCUCCGAGAGAUCGUAUACACGCGCGUUCAAAUAAAACGAGAACGAUUUUAAUCCAAGUGUGUCGGGUGCAAGUUCGUAAUUAUUUAGUUUUUCAUUUUCUUGCGUUGAAAACCUUCAGAACUGCGUGAUAAAAUUUACAUGUUAAGAGAAAAUUAAAAAUAGAAGAAGCUCGAAACCAUAUUUAUUUAAAUUUAUAGCGAAACAAAUUUCUCAUUAGUAAGGGACAAUACUAUUCGUACAAUUGGUUUACUGCAGAAAUAAAACACAGAAAUAUUUUCACAGAUUAAUCCGCAAAUAGUAUAUGAUAUUUAAAAGAGGAUCUUAAAAAAAUUUUGGAAAAAGAUUGAGAAAGCGCAGAACAAAAUUUCCUUAAAAACUUAAUUAAUGAUAAAUUGGAUGCAGUUAUUUGAAAAAGGAUGCCCACGGAAUAAUACUUAUUACACAUUAAUUAACGGUAUUAAUUAAUAUGAAUAUUCCUGUCUCGACGAAAUGUUACCAUUAUAUGUAUCACAUUAUAUAUAUUUAAAUAUAUUUGUUAUUCUUUA